rnacentral:rRNA from 1 species
AGCGAACGUUGGCGGCAUGCCUAACACAUGCAAGUCGAACGAACCCUUCGGGGUGAGUGGCGCACGGGUGCGUAACGCGUGGGAACCUGCCCUUAGGUUCGGAAUAACAGUGAGAAAUCGCUGCUAAUACCGGAUAAUGUCUUCGGACCAAAGAUUUAUCGCCUUUGGAUGGGCCCGGCGUUGGAUUAGCUAGUUGGUGGGGUAAAGGCUCACCAAGGCGACGAUCCAUAGCUGGUCUUAGAGGAUGAUCAGCCACACUGGGACUGAGACACGGCCCAGACUCCUACGGGAGGCAGCAGUGGGGGAAUAUUGGACAAUGGGCGAAAGCCUGAUCCAGCAAUGCCGCGUGAGUGAUGAAGGCCUUAGGGUUGUAAAGCUCUUUUACCAGGGAUGAUAAUGACAGUACCUGGAGAAUAAGCUCCGGCUAACUCCGUG